GCCAAGGUGGCUUAGUGGCUUAAGCACCUGCCUAAUAAGCAGGAGAGCCGCGUUCGAUUCCCGGCCUUGGUA